AUUGAACGCUGGCGGCAGGCCUAACACAUGCAAGUCGAGCGAGCGGCGGGCGGGGGAGUAAUGUAUGGGGACUGCCCGAUAGAGGGGGAGAACUACUGGAAAAGCUAGCUAAAACCGCACACUAUCGCAUAGCCCAUAUGGGAUUAGCUAGUAGGUGUGGUAAUGGCUCACCUAGGCGACGCUCCCUAGCGCGUCUGAGAGGAUGAUCAGCCACACUGGAACUGAGACACGGCCCAGACUCCUACGGAGGCAGCAGUGGGGAAUAUUGCACAAUGGGCGCAAGCCUGAUGCAGCCAUGCCGCGUGUAUGAAGAAGGCCUUAGGGUUGUAAAGUACUUUCAGUCGGGAGGCGUUACCGACAGAAGAAGCACCGGCUAACUCCGUGCCAGCAGCCGCGGUAAUAC
rnacentral:rRNA from 1 species